rnacentral:rRNA from 1 species
AGUUUGAUCCUGGCUCAGAACGAACGCUGGCGGCAGGCCUAACACAUGCAAGUCGAGCGAAGCCUUCGGGUUUAGCGGCGGACGGGUGAGUAACGCGUGGGAAUAUGCCCUUCUCUACGGAAUAGCCCUGGGAAACUGGGAGUAAUACCGUAUACGCCCUACGGGGGAAAGAUUUAUCGGAGAAGGAUUAGCCCGCGUUGGAUUAGGUAGUUGGUGGGGUAAUGGCCUACCAAGCCUACGAUCCAUAGCUGGUUUGAGAGGAUGAUCAGCCACACUGGGACUGAGACACGGCCCAGACUCCUACGGGAGGCAGCAGUGGGGAAUCUUAGACAAUGGGGGCAACCCUGAUCUAGCCAUGCCGCGUGAGUGAUGAAGGCCUUAGGGUUGUAAAGCUCUUUCAGC